UACGUAGGGGGCAAGCGUUGUCCGGAAUCAUUGGGCGUAAAGCGCGUGUAGGCGGCUUGGUAAGUCUGCUCUGAAAGCCCGGGGCUCAACCCUGGGAGGCGGGUGGAUACUGCUGAGCUCGAGUCCGGAAGAGGCGAGUGGAAUUCCUGGUGUAGCGGUGAAAUGCGCAGAUAUCAGGAGGAACACCAAUGGCGAAGGCAGCUCGCUGGGACGGUACUGACGCUGGAGACGCGAAAGCGUGGGGAGCGAACAGG
rnacentral:rRNA from 1 species